AGAGUUUGAUCCUGGCUCAGGACGAACGCUGGCGGUGUGCUUCACACAUGCAAGUCGAACGGAGUAGCAAUACUCAGUGGCGGACGGGUGAGUAACACGUGGGAAUCUACCAUUAGGUGGGGAGUAACAGGCCGAAAGGACUGCUAAUGCCGCAUAUGUAGGCAUCUCGACAGAGAUGUUUAUGAAAGGAGUAAUCCGCCUUUUGAUGAGCCCGCGUCCGAUUAGCUAGUUGGUAGGGUAAAAGCCUACCAAGGCGACGAUCGGUAGGUGGUCUGAGAGGAUGAUCACCCACAAUGGGACUGAGACACGGCCCAUACUCCUACGGGAGGCAGCAGUGGGGAAUUUUACGCAAUGGGGGAAACCCUGACGUAGCGACACCGCGUGAGCGAAGAAGCCCUUUGGGGUGUAAAGCUCUGUCAACAGGAACGAAACAAAUGACGGUACCUGUGGAGGAAGCAUCGGCUAACUACGUGCCAGCAGCCGCGGUAAGACGUAGGAUGCAAGCGUUGUCCGGAUUUAUUGGGCGUAAAGAGUUCGUAGGCGGUUUGUUAAGUCUGAUGUUAAAGACCGGGGCUCAACCUCGGAAAUGCAUUGGAUACUGGCAGACUGGAGUGCAGUAGAGGCUAGUGGAAUUCCCAGUGUAGCGGUGAAAUGCGUAGA
rnacentral:rRNA from 1 species